rnacentral:rRNA from 1 species
GACGAACGCUGGCGGCGUGCCUAAUACAUGCGAGUUGAGCGCUGAAGGUUGGUACUUGUACCAACUGGAUGAGCAGCGAACGGGUGAGUAACGCGUGGGGAAUCUGCCUUUGAGCGGGGGACAACAUUUGGAAACGAAUGCUAAUACCGCAUAAAAACUUUAAACACAAGUUUUAAGUUUGAAAGAUGCAAUUGCAUCACUCAAAGAUGAUCCCGCGUUGUAUUAGCUAGUUGGUGAGGUAAAGGCUCACCAAGGCGAUGAUACAUAGCCGACCUGAGAGGGUGAUCGUCCACAUUGGGACUGAGACACGGCCCAAACUCCUACGGGAGGCAGCAGUAGGGAAUCUUCGGCAAUGGACGAAAGUCUGACCGAGCAACGCCGCGUGAGUGAAGAAGGUUUUCGGAUCGUAAAACUCUGUUGGUAGAGAAGAACGUUGGUGAGAGUGGAAAGCUCAUCAAGUGACGGUAACUACCCAGAAAGGGACGGCUAACUACGUG